AGAACUGCCUAAUGUCCUUUUUUAAAAUUUUUAUUUAUUUUUAUUUUUUUCUUCACAAAAUAGAUUUUUUAUUGUCUUUCACUCAAAAGAAAUAAGAUCUCUAUGAACCAUCAAUCCAUUUACAGAAAUCACCAAGUGGUCAGACCAUGAAAUCAAAGGAGUGGCACCAGAAAUCAAGUCUGUGAACCAAAUACCGGCUAUCAACUCUCCUGUAGAAAAGCUAUCAAGAUUCAAAGACAAAGAUGUAGAUGUAAGGCUCUAUUCAUCUGUCUGUGUAAUACUGAGGGGGAGGAAGGUGGAGAA